rnacentral:rRNA from 1 species
GAUGAACGCUGGCGGCGUGCCUAAUACAUGCAAGUCGAGCGAACGGACGAGAAGCUUGCUUCUCUGAUGUUAGCGGCGGACGGGUGAGUAACACGUGGAUAACCUACCUAUAAGACUGGGAUAACUUCGGGAAACCGGAGCUAAUACCGGAUAAUAUUUUGAACCGCAUAGUUCAAAAGUGAAAGACGGUCUUGCUGUCACUUAUAGAUGGAUCCGCGCUGCAUUAGCUAGUUGGUAAGGUAACGGCUUACCAAGGCAACGAUGCAUAGCCGACCUGAGAGGGUGAUCGGCCACACUGGAACUGAGACACGGUCCAGACUCCUACGGGAGGCAGCAGUAGGGAAUCUUCCGCAAUGGGCGAAAGCCUGACGGAGCAACGCCGCGUGAGUGAUGAAGGUCUUCGGAUCGUAAAACUCUGUUAUUAGGGAAGAACAUAUGUGUAAGUAACUGUGCACAUCUUGACGGUACCUAAUCAGAAGGCCACGGCUAACUACGUG